GACGUGCUUUCUUCAGAAACCACCGCAUAAAACUUGUUUAUGUAGAAAAGCAAUAAACAAGGCAGCAAACAGUCUGAUGAAAUAAAGUUCAAUAAUACAACCUAGAAAAGUUUCUCAAAACAAAAAUUAUUUAUCCUUUUCUCUUUUGUUCCUAUACAUAACUAGCCUUAUCUUCCAACUGAAACAAUGAAGUUAUACAAACACUGAUAUAAUCGCACUCGCUAAUUUGAAACUGUUUUGGGAGACAGCCUGAAAACAUGGUUUAGCCAUUCUUUUACCUACAAGAUAAGAUAUUGUUUUCACUGCUAGCCUGGCGUAGUAGAAUAAUAAUUGGGUGGAUAGCGAUUGCUUGAGUGAGCUGUAACAGCAAGCGGGAAUUGCUGCAGGAACGGUAUCCAUGACAAUGUGUGUGAGCGACGCAGAUUGCGAGUUGGUGGAUAUUUACAGCUAUUUACCUACUGACUCAUUUUUUUACAAUAAGUUCAAAAGCAGAAUCCAGAUGGUGGCUGCUUUGCACAGAACGAUCGGAUGUUUUCGCACACUUUGCUGGUAGUGUCAGUAAAGUCUAACAGUGUCAGUUGUACUAACCUACAAACUCGGAAUGACCAAGCGAUUUGAUAAAUUAUUAUUCCCAGCAAGUGAUCUACAUCGGGAAAACGCGAUCUGUCAUACUUUUGAACAAAAGGAUAAAUUCAAGGCAGAAAACCACAUAAAAGAUGUCUUCCGAGAGCACACAUUGUCCUCGAAUUUGAUCUAACAUCCACAAUAAUUUAUUAUAUAAUUGAAACAAGAAAACACCCUUAAAAAUCA